CGAUUGCAUAAAAAAUAAACAAAUAAAAAUAAAAAUAAAUAACAAAUGAACCCACCAUUUACCUGGCCCACCCACCUAGUUUCCAGACCCUGCCCCGCUCCCUGCCACCAGCCCAUUAUCUUCCCAGCGGGACACCGCUACACAUGCAACUGCCGACACCAGUUUGUGCCCCAUGGGUCCUCAGGGAAGUCAGAUCAAGGUCAGCAUCCUUCCCACCGCAGCUGAGAAGCUCCUCUAUGGUCUCUGAUUUGCCAUCCUGGGAUCCCAGUGGAAUCUGCCCACUUUCCAGAAGAAAGCGAGGGCCAGAGAGUUCAGCAGCGGGGUAUAAUCUAGAAUCCAGAUCAGCUGACGUGGGAGCGUGAGCCGCUCACAGAGACCUACUCAGGAAGCCGUGAAAAACCGCCCACCGCAACCUCCGUGUUGCCCUCCUAUCCGCACCCCUGGCCUUGGACCCAUGCAUAAAAAUCACAUUGACAAGAGCAGUCGUUGGAUUUGAUGAGAUACCAUAGGAAAUAAUUUAAUUUUUCUUCUCUUACAAUUUUUUCUUAUGUGAUACAUAUUCUGUUCAGAAAAAUUAGAAAAUAC
rnacentral:lncRNA from 1 species